rnacentral:misc_RNA from 1 species
UCCGGUUUGUCACCGCAGAUUUAGCCCAGGUAAGGUUCUUCGCGUUGCAUCGAAUUAAGCCACAUGCUCCACCGCUUGUGCGGGCCCCCGUCAAUUCCUUUGAGUUUCAUUCUUGCGAACGUACUCCCCAGGUGGUAUGCUUACUGCGUUAACUGCGUCACUGCCCCCGAAGAGACAACAACUAGCAUACAUCGUUUACGGCGUGGACUAC